rnacentral:rRNA from 1 species
AUAAUGGGUCAGCGACUUAUAUUCUGUAGCAAGGUUAACCGAAUAGGGGAGCCGAAGGGAAACCGAGUCUUAACUGGGCGUUAAGUUGCAGGGUAUAGACCCGAAACCCGGUGAUCUAGCCAUGGGCAGGUUGAAGGUUGGGUAACACUAACUGGAGGACCGAACCGACUAAUGUUGAAAAAUUAGCGGAUGACUUGUGGCUGGGGGUGAAAGGCCAAUCAAACCGGGAGAUAGCUGGUUCUCCCCGAAAGCUAUUUAGGUAGCGCCUCGUGAAUUCAUCUCCGGGGGUAGAGCACUGUUUCGGCAAGGGGGUCAUCCCGACUUACCAACCCGAUGCAAACUGCGAAUACCGGAGAAUGUUAUCACGGGAGACACACGGCGGGUGCUAACGUCCGUCGUGAAGAGGGAAACAACCCAGACCGCCAGCUAAGGUCCCAAAGUCAUGGUUAAGUGGGAAACGAUGUGGGAAGGCCCAGACAGCC